rnacentral:lncRNA from 1 species
GCCCCAAACAUCCCCGAAGAAAGGUAACCACAGAAACAGCCAGAAAUGUGGAGCUGGGCGAUCGUAUGAGGCUGAGACAAAACUGUCUUUCUAGCGUCUCUAGGGGAGAGCUUGAAUCCCUCCUUCCACUCCUCCUCCACGGAAAACAGAGUGAACUCCUGCUACAGAGGCCGCCAGAGCAACAUGCAAGACCAGCUUUGAGGGGAGCGGGCACAGGGCCUUGCAGGGAAGGUGGGCCGAGCCCAGACCCCUCAUUCUUACUUGGCUCUGAAGGCGGAAAGGCAAAGCUAGACCUCGAGGAAGUUCCCCUCCCUGUGGGCCCUACAGUGAAGAUUACAUGAAGGCAUGUGGGCGGUGGACCAGAGUGCACCGACUGAUGAAGGCGGCCCGGUACCCGCGGGUGCCAUGCCUCCUUCUUAGCCAAGGCCACUCUAGCUCCCCGUGAAGUAUCCAGGUAGAAGGCUGGUGGGGUUACAGGAGUGUAUCUCUCUCAGAUGAGAUACAAGUUGGUCCCUUCCCUUGCGUCCCUCCUGUUCCUUCAAGAGGAGGACUGUCUACCCACCCCGAAGCUUCAUGGAGAGAGAGCACACCGUCGUUAUUCAAUAUGUAGUUUUGAAUUUAACUAGAGCAAAGAAGAAAGCAAAUUCAGUCACAUCAUGGCCCAGAAUGGCUGCAAAACCUCUAGCAUUUACUUCCUUAUUCCAGGUGGAAGGAAGAAGAAAAGGGAAAAGGGCUGUCCCCAUCCUUCUAAGGAGAUGGUGCAGUGGCUCACCUUUGGGAGGCCGAGGCAGGCAGAUCACUUGAGCUCAGCAGUUUGAGACCAGCCUGGGUAACAUAGUGAAACCCCAUCUCUACAGAAAUUAAAAAAUUAGCCAGACAUGGCGGCGCACACCUGUGGUCCCAGCUACUCAGGAGGCUGCGGCAGAAGUAUGCCUUGAGCCAAAGAGGCAGAGAUUGCAGUGAGCCAAGAUCAUGCUACUGCACUCCAGCCUGGGCAACGAAGCAAGACUGUCUCAGGAAAAAAAAAAAAAAUGAUCAUUUUUCUCUGUCCACUUGGUGGGUCAACUGAAUGGUAUUCCUGUGUCUUCUACUCUCCUCCCACUUGGAAACCCACUGAGAUGCUCUUCCGAAGGCCAGUGCAUGCUGGGCCACACGAGACAGAGCUCAGGCUGGAGGAGCCUCAUACCCGCCCCUCUAGAUGCUUAUAAAAAUACUUCCCACCUUUGAAUCAAGUGGAAAAUGAGGCUCUCCAGUCAAAAGCCGCGACUGUAUAGAAAGCCCUGAGUUGCCCAAUCUGUUCACAUGGCAUCACCAACCUCUGUGUCAUCAUCAAGCUGUCCAGGGGACUCGAUGGCCACCUGGCCAGGAACUGCGGGCUGAUUGGAAGCUGUUGUUCCCAUUGUAUAAUCACACACAUCAUAAAAUAAUCAGUCUUGUCUCUAUUUACAAUUUUGAUGUUUUGUUCAUCACAAAUUUUUAUAUUAAUUUUUAGUUUAACAAACAUUGCACUAAAAUAAUGUUUCUCUUGAUGACCGAGUUUGGGUGCCCUUUCUAUUCUGUGUACAAGAUGAGAGCCUCACUGGCCUCCCCCAAUCCUGGCACUGCCGGAGGCUUUCCUGCGCCCCCU